CAAUGAGUGUUUAAUGGCACUUCAAAUCCAUUACCCACCUUGUGUGCAUUGUCGGGGGAACUCUCAAUCUCCUCUCUCGGGAGGAAGGAGGGGGUUCUCUUUCAUACAUACUCUGUUCUUUCAUUAUCAGUCUACUUCAAUUGAGUAAUUAAAACUCGAAUA
rnacentral:misc_RNA from 1 species